rnacentral:rRNA from 1 species
CCUACGGGAGGCAGCAGUGGGGAAUAUUGGGCAAUGGGCGCAAGCCUGACCCAGCAACGCCGCGUGAAGGAAGAAGGCUUUCGGGUUGUAAACUUCUUUUAAGAGGGAAGAGCAGAAGAAGGUAUCACUUGAAUAAGCUACGGCUAACUAAGUGCCAGCAGCCGCGGUAAUACGUUGGCGGCAAGCGUUGUCCGGAUUUACUGGGUGUAAAGGGCGGGCAGUCGGGAAUACAAGUCAGAUGUGAAAUCCCGCGGCUCAACCGCGGAACUGCAUUUGAAACUGUUUUUCUUGAGUACCGGAGAGGUCAUCGGAAUUCCUUGUGUAGCGGUGAAAUGCGUAGAUAUAAGGAAGAACACCAGUGGCGAAGGCGAAUGUCUGGACGGCAACUGACGGUGAGGCGCGAAAGCGUGGGGAGCAAACAGGAUUAGAUACCCGUGUAGUC